rnacentral:rRNA from 1 species
GAUGAACGCUGGCGGCGUGCUUAACACAUGCAAGUCGAACGAUGAAGCUCAGCUUGCUGGGUGGAUUAGUGGCGAACGGGUGAGUAACACGUGAGUAACCUGCCCUUAACUCUGGGAUAAGCCUGGGAAACUAGGUCUAAUACCGGAUAGGAGCUUCCACCGCAUGGUGGGUGUUGGAAAGAUUUAUCGGUUUUGGAUGGACUCGCGGCCUAUCAGCUUGUUGGUGAGGUAAUGGCUCACCAAGGCGACGACGGGUAGCCGGCCUGAGAGGGUGACCGGCCACACUGGGACUGAGACACGGCCCAGACUCCUACGGGAGGCAGCAGUGGGGAAUAUUGCACAAUGGGCGAAAGCCUGAUGCAGCGACGCCGCGUGAGGGAUGACGGCCUUCGGGUUGUAAACCUCUUUCAGUAGGGAAGAAGCGAAAGUGACGGUACCUGCAGAAGAAGCACCGGCUAACUACGUG